CCAGCUUGUCCUCACUGACAGUAGCGGGACACAAGCUGACAGUGACAGGAUUUUUCCUCCAGCUGUCAGCCCUGUGCUCACAACUGUCAAUCAAGAAAGUGUGUCCAUGACAUAGGUGAUGAUGCAUGGACACAGCAGGACUGAAACUUUGGGUUCUGAGAAGAUGAAAGUCCUAGAACAGCAUCGUCCAGCAAAUGCUUAGGUUCCCCUGCUGGUUUCUCCACCACGUUCUCAGCGUCCCCAUCAGGAGUGUCAUUACUGCCUUCAUACACUGGAAGCUGCAGAUGAUCGUGCUGUGGAGACAGAAUGUGCAAGUUUAAAGGCACACUUUAUGGAUAGAGGAUACGUAUCUGAUCGUGGGACCGACCACUAGGACCCCCAGUGAUCUCCGAAACAAGACCCUUUUUUUUCGUAACUUUUUGUAACCACUCAACAUUAACAAUACAAUAAUCUAGUGAAAUAAGCUUCUACAUAAAGAAGGGUCUAUGGCCACCAAAGGAAAUAUUUUAAGAAUAAAAAAAAUAACCAGUGGGUGCUAGAAAUUACCAAGACCAAAAGGGAUUGGGGCCUGUAUUGUUGGCUUUGCUGUUUUGCUCUUUUAUACCAUUACUCUGCAAAGUACCAUAAAACAAAUAGUUGUAGCACUAUUCAUAAUGUAUUUUAGAACUGCAGGUAUUCAAGAUGGUUACGCAGGUGUGCGUGAGACGCAGUCAGAUAUAUGCCUACCAAAUACUAGGUUUACACAGGAUGUGCGGGUGCUCUGGGCAUUACACCUAUCACCACAGAUAGAUUGUAUCCAGAUGAUGUGGUGCAAUAGCCAGAUGUCCCCAUUUAUAUUCCACAACAUAUUCUAAAGCUGAAUGCUAGGUUGAAUUUAGUGGCUGAGCAUGAUAACUUAUUUAUUUACAAGGGUCUCCCCAGCUAUAUCCUCCAAAUCACAUAAAUAAUUUACAGAAAGAUGUGUUCAAACUAGAUGUUUCAUCAUCUAAACAAUAAAUAAAUAAAUAAAUAAAAAAAAAAGAAAAACUAUAUACCGUAUUUUUCGCUGUAUAAAACGAACCUUUUCUUCGUCUUAUACGGCGAAUACACCCCUAUCGCGGCGGUUCCUGCGGCCAUCAACGGCCAGGACCCGCGGCUAAUACAGGACAUCACUGAUCGCGGUGAUGUCCUGUAUUAACCCCUUCAGAUGCGGCGA